GUCGAGCGGUAAGGCCCUUCGGGGUACACGAGCGGCGAACGGGUGAGUAACACGUGAGCAACCUGCCCCUGACUCCGGGAUAAGCGGUGGAAACGCCGUCUAAUACCGGAUAUGACACACCAUCUCCUGGUGGUGUGUGGAAAGUUUUAUCGGUCAGGGAUGGGCUCGCGGCCUAUCAGCUUGUUGGUGGGGUAAAGGCCUACCAAGGCGAUUACGGGUAGCCGGCCUGAGAGGGCGACCGGCCACACUGGGACUGAGACACGGCCCAGACUCCUGCGGGAGGCAGCAGUGGGGAAUAUUGCACAAUGGGCGAAAGCCUGAUGCAGCGACGCCGCGUGGGGGAUGACGGCCUUCGGGUUGUAAACCUCUUUUACCACCAACGCAGGCCCCGGGUUCUCUCGGGGUUGACGGUAGGUGGGGAAUAAGGACCGGCUAACUACGUGCCAGCAGCCGCGGUAAUACGUAGGGUCCGAGCGUUGUCCGGAAUUAUUGGGCGUAAAGAGCUCGUAGGCGGCGUGUCGCGUCUGCUGUGAAAGACCGGGGCUUAACCCCGGUUCUGCAGUGGAUACGGGCAUGCUAGAGGUAGGUAGGGGAGACUGGAAUUCCUGGUGUAGCGGUGAAAUGCGCAGAUAUCAGGAGGAACACC
rnacentral:rRNA from 1 species